AUACGUAGGUGACAAGCGUUAUCCGGAUUUACUGGGCGUAAAGGGCGUGUAGGCGGUCUUGCAAGUCAGAAGUGAAAUUCCUGAGCUCAACUCGGGCGCUGCUUCUGAAACUGCAGGACUUGAGUGCUGGAGGGGAUAGCGGAAUUCCUAGUGGAGCGGUAAAAUGCGCAGAUAUUAGGAAGAACACCGGUGGCGAAGGCGGCUAUCUGGACAGUAACUGACGCUGAGGCGCGAAAGUGUGGGGAGCAAACAGGAUUAGAUACCCUGGUAGUCCACACUGUAAACGAUGAAUGCUAGGUGUAAGAGGUAUCGACCCCUUUUGUGCCGGAGUCAACACAAUAAGCAUUCCGCCUGGGGAGUACGGCCGCAAGGUUGAAACUCAAAUGAAUUGACGGGG
rnacentral:rRNA from 1 species